rnacentral:rRNA from 1 species
AGAGCGCAGGGCGAAUGCCUUGGCACCGAGAACCGAAGAAAGACGUGAUAAGCUGCGAAAAGCUGCGGGGAGGAGCAAAUAUCCUUUGAGCCGCAGAUGUCUGAAUGAGGAAACUCACAUAUCCGAGAAGAUAUGUAUCAUACACUGAAUAAAUAGGUGUAUGAGGGGAACCACCUGAACUGAAACAUCUAAGUAGGGUGAGGAAAAGAAAUCAAAAGAGAUUGCGCAAGUAGUGGCGAGCGAACGCGUAAGAGGCCAAACCGUGAGUAGAAAUACUUGCGGGGUAGAGGACUGCAUAAAGCAUUUACGAAGUUAGCCGAAUGGUGUGGGAAAGCCAUCCGAAGAGUGUGAGAGACACGUAGGCGAAAACGAAGUAGAGCGAGCAGGAUCCGGAGUACCGCGGGACACGAGGAAUCCCGUGGGAAGCAGGGGGGACCACCCUCCAAGCCUAAAUAUUACUCGGUGACCGAUAGAGAAGUAGUACUGUGAAGGAAAGGUGAAAAGGACCCCGGGAGGGGAGUGAAAAAGAACCUGAAACCCUGUGCUUACAAGCACACAGAGCACGUCAAAGUGUGAUGUGGUACUUUUUGUAGAACGGUCCGGCGAGCGAAUGUAUGCAGCGAGGUUAAGCAAUUAAGUUGUGGAGCCGAAGCGAGAGCGAGUGUUAAUAGUGCGAAAAGUUGCAUGCAUUGAGCCCGAAACCAGGUGACCUAACCAUGAACAGGCUGAAGUUGAGGUAAAGCUCAAUGGAGGGCCGAACACACGUCCGUUGAAAAGGCCGGUGAUGAUUUGUGGUUAGCGGAGAAAUUCCAAUCGAACCUGGAGAUAGCUGGUUCUCUCCGAAAUAGUUUUAGGACUAGCCUCAUAUUAGAUUCACGGGGGUAAAGCACUGAAUGGGCUAGGGGCCGAGAGGUUACUGAACCCUAUCAAACUAAGAAUACCGAGGAAUUGAUGUAUGGGAGUCAGACUGUGUGAGAUAAGUUUCAUAGUCAAAAGGGAAACAGCCCAGAUCUACAGCUAAGGUCCCAAAGCAGGUUUAAGUGGAAAAGGAUGUGAAGUUGCGAAGACAGCCAGGAUGUUGGCUUAGAAGCAGCCACUCAUUCAAAGAGUGCGUAAUAGCUCACUGGUCGAGUGACUUUGCGCCGAAAAUUUAACGGGGCUAAAAACCUGCACCGAAGCUUAGGCAUUGCGUAAUGCAAUGGGUAGGAGAGCGUUGUAUAUGGGGUGAAGCAGCAGCGGAAGCGGCUGUGGACUGUAUAGAAGUGAGAAUGCCGGAAUGAGUAGCGCGAUUUAUGUGAGAAUCAUAAAGGCCGAAAACCUAAGGUUUUUGGAGGAAGGUUCGUCCGCUCCAAGUUAGCCGGGAGCUAAGGUGAGGCUGAAAAGCGUAGCCGAUGCACAUACGGUAGAGAUUCCGUAGCUAACGAAAUUUAAGCGUGGGGACACUUUCGAAGGUUGUAUGCCGGUGGAUGGAAAGCCGGUCGAAAGGGAGACGAGUGAGUCGAAGAUACAAUUGGAGAGAGGCGAGAAAAGCCACGAGGGAUAAUAAGUUACCCGUACCGCAAACCGACACAGGUAGGUAGGAAGAGGAUUCUAAGGCCAACGGGAGAAGGGUUGUUAAGGAACUCGGCAAAAUGUCCCCGUAACUUCGGGAGAAGGGGAGCUGCAGAGAUGCAGUCGCAGAGAAGAGGUCCAGGCAACUGUUUAGCAAAAACACAGGUCUGUGCUAAAUCGAAAGAUGACGUAUACGGGCUGACGCCUGCCCGGUGCCGGAAGGUUAAGAGGAAAUGUGAGAGCAUUGAAUCGAAGCCCCGGUAAACGGCGGCCGUAACUAUAACGGUCCUAAGGUAGCGAAAUUCCUUGUCAGGUAAGUUCUGACCCGCACGAAAGGCGUAAUGAUCUGGACGCUGUCUCGACAGCCCGCCCGGCGAAAUUGUAGUACCGGUGAAGAUGCCGGUUACCCGCGACAAGACGGAAAGACCCCAUGGAGCUUUACUGUAGUCUAAUAUUGGGUUUCGAUAUUACAUGUACAGGAUAGGUAGGAGACAGGGAAGUUAGUGCGUCAGCAUUAAUGGAGUCGAUGUUGGGAUACUACUCUUGUGAUAUUGGAAUUCUAACCUGCGGCUUUGAAGCAAGUCGGGGGACAUUGUUAGAUGGGCAGUUUGACUGGGGCGGUCGCCUCCGAAAGAGUAACGGAGGCGUUCAAAGGUUAGCUCAGGAUGGACGGAAACCAUCUAAAAGAGUGCAAACGCAGAAGCUAGCCUGACUGUGAGACUGACAGGUCGAACAGAGACGAAAGUCGGAGUUAGUGAUCCGGUGGUAUGUGAGUGGAAAUGCCAUCGCUCAACGGAUAAAAGUUACCCUGGGGAUAACAGGCUGAUCUCCCCCAAGAGUUCACAUCGACGGGGAGGUUUGGCACCUCGAUGUCGGCUCAUCGCAUCCUGGGGCUGAAUUCGGUCCCAAGGGUUUGGCUGUUCGCCAAUUAAAGCGGUACGCGAGCUGGGUUCAGAACGUCGUGAGACAGUUCGGUCCCUAUCUGUCGUGGGCGCAGGGUAUUUGACGGGAGCUGUUCCUAGUACGAGAGGACCGGGAUGGACGAACCUCUGGUGCACCAGUUGUCACGCCAGUGGCACAGCUGGGCAGCUAAGUGCGGAGCGGAUAAACGCUGAAAGCAUCUAAGCGUGAAACCGACCCGGAGAUAAGAUACCCCAUGCGAAAGCAGUAAGACCCCUUGAAGACUACAAGGUUGAUAGGCAGCAAGUGUAAGUGUUGU